rnacentral:rRNA from 1 species
CCCCUAGAUGUUCUGGGCCGCACGCGCGCUACACUGAACAGUUCAACAAGUCUUAACCUUGGCCGAUAGGUCUGGGUAAUCUUUGAACGCUGUUCGUGAUUGGGAUAGACCUUUGCAAUUAUGGGUCUUCAACGAGGAAUUCCUAGUAAACGCAAGUCAUCAGCUUGCAUUGAGUACGUCCCUGCCCUUUGUACACACCGCCCGUCGCACCUACCGAUUGAAUGGUCCGGUGAAAUCUCGGGACGGCGGCUUGGUCGCUUGCGUCCGACUGCUGAAACUUGAUUAAACCAUAUCAUUUAGAGGAAGGUGAAGUCGUAACA